GCCGCCGGCGGGGACCCGAAGAGAGAGUCACGCAGCGGCGCCCCGCCCCCUCCCGCCAGGUCACGUGGGGCCACAAGCCGAAAGCAGGAGGCCGCAUGCGCCAAGCGGCCAGAGGUCGGGGCUGCGCGAAAAAUAUUCCAGAAGACUUCAGGCGGAGGGGAAACUUCAGCCCAAAGGGUUAUAUUUUGAUUAUCUCAGUUGGGUUCUUCCUACACCUCCAUGCAAAACAUAACAUGGAACUCUGAUAGCAAAAGCUAAAAAAUUGAUUGUGCAGAAAAGAGAAAUGCACAGUCCAAUCCUGCAAAAAGUGUGUGACUGAAGUUUGAGAAAGUGGGAAUGGUUAAAAAAAAAACCCACCUCAUUUCUGCGUCACCAAAACAAAAUGAAGUGUUCCCACUUAAAUAUUUGAUGUAUCUAUCGAAAAAGAAUACCUACUUAUAUCUAUAACCUGUAUCCUCCUUCACCUUUCUGCUGCAUGUUAGAUUAAUGUCAAGUCCAGCAUUUGGACUGUAAACUUUUUGGGGGUAGAAAGCUGUCUUCUGUGUGUUUUCCCACUUAACCCAUCUGUGUACACUAUGAAAUAUCAUCUCCACAGCUGUAGGGAGAAGAAAGAGGUGAGAAUGGGGAAGGCUGAAGUUUAAUGGGUUAAUGAAGAGGAUAGAUUUUUGAUAUAUCGCAGAAGGGUAGCAUUCACUGAAAACAUUUGGUAUAUACUUCUAAAGAUUAUUUAAUUUCAAAAGAGGAUUUUGCAACAAAAAAAGAACAUAGCUAAUAGCUGUUGGAACUCCUUUCUCUUCACUGAAAGCAUUUAUGUUUUGAAAGCAAAGGUGCUCAGCUGCAAAAAUACACAGCCCUGACAUGCCCCUGAAUUUAUGAAAAAUCUCUCCUGUAUUUAGUUACACUUAUGAAGGUUUUUAAUCCAAUCCAAAACUGUUUGGUUGUGU